ACUACGGGUGGCUGCAGUGAGGAAUAUUGGUCAAUGGACGAGAGUCUGAACCAGCCAAGUAGCGUGAAGGAUGACUGCCCAGUGGGUUGUAAACUUCUUUUAUAAAGGAAUAAAACGAGGCACGUGUGCCUGUUUGCAUGUACUUUAUGAAUAAGGAUCGGCUAACUCCGUGCCAGCAGCCGCGGUAAUACGGAGGAUUCGAGCGUUAUCCGGAUUUAUUGUGUUUAAAGGGAGCGUAGGUGGGUUGUUAAGUCAGUGGGCAAAUGUUGCGGCUCAACCGUAAAAUGGCAAUUGAUACUGGCGGUCUUGAGUACAGUUGAGGUAAGCGGAAUGCGUGGUGUAGCGGUGAAAUGCAUAGAUAUCACGAAGAACCCCGAUUGCGAAGGCAGCUUACUAAACUGUGACUGACAUUGAUGCUCGAAAGUGUGGGUAUCAAACAGGAUUAGAUACCCGGGUAGUC
rnacentral:rRNA from 1 species